rnacentral:rRNA from 1 species
CCUUAGUACGAGAGGACCGGGAUGGACACACCGCUGGUGUACCAGUUGUCUUGCCAAAGGCAUCGCUGGGUAGCUAUGUGUGGACGGGAUAAGUGCUGAAAGCAUCUAAGCAUGAAGCCCCCCUCAAGAUGAGAUUUCCCAUAGCGUAAGCUAGUAAGAUCCCUGAAAGAUGAUCAGGUUGAUAGGUCAGAGGUGGAAGCGUGGCGACAUGUGUAGCUGACUGAUACUAAUCGAUCGAGGACUUAACCAAAC